rnacentral:rRNA from 1 species
AGAAUGAACGUUGGCGGCGUGGAUUAGGCAUGCGAGUCGCGCGAGAAGGUAGCAAUACCGGAAAGCGGCGAAAGGGAGAGGAAUAGGUGGGAAUCUGCCCCUGGAUCGGGGAUAGCUACGGGAAACUGUAGGUAAUACCCGAUAACGUCGAAAGACCAAAGGUGUGAUUCCGUCUGGGGAUGAGCCCACCUCCUAUUAGCUAGUUGUUAGGGUAAUGGCCUAACAAGGCAUUGAUGGGUAGCUGGUGUGAGAGCACGACCAGCCUCACUGGCACUGAGACACUGGCCAGACACCUACGGGUGGCUGCAGUCGAGAAUCUUCGGCAAUGGACGAAAGUCUGACCGAGCGACGCCGCGUGCGGGAUGAAGGCCUUCGGGUUGUAAACCGCUGUCGUAGGGGAUCAAAUGUAGUUGGGUACUCCCUUCUACUUGAGAGAUCCUAGGAGGAAGGGGAGGCUAAGCUCGUGCCAGCAGCCGCGGUAAGACGAGCUCCCCAAACGUUAUUCGGUAUUACUGGGCUUAAAGAGUUCGUAGGCGGUCUUGUAGGUGAGGUGUGAAAGCCCUCGGCUUAACCGAGGAAUUGCGCUUCAAACCACAAGGCUUGAGGGAGGUAGGGGUAUGCGGAACAGAUGGUGGAGCGGUGAAAUGCGUUGAUAUCAUCUGGAACACCGGUGGCGAAAGCGGCAUACUGGACCUUUUCUGACGCUGAGGAACGAAAGCUAGGGUAGCGAACGGGAUUAGAUACCCCGGUAGUCCUAGCCGUAAACGAUGAGCACUAGUCUGUAGGGACCCUCAUAUCCUUUCGGACGUAGCGAAAGUGUUAAGUGCUC